GCUUCGUGCCCAAAGUGCUAUGCUUCGGCCGGCAAAAAACAGUCAACUCAGAACUGGCACGGACCCGGGGGAAUCCGACUGUCUAAUUAAAACAAAGCAUUGCGAUGGCCGCUGGUCGGUGUUGACGCAAUGUGAUUUCUGCCCAGUGCUCUGAAUGUCAACGUGAAGAGAUUCAUCAAAGCGCGGGUAAACGGCGGGAGUAACUAUGACUCUCUUGUGCACUGGGGUGAGACAGGGAGACCCUCUUUC
rnacentral:ncRNA from 1 species